rnacentral:rRNA from 1 species
UACGAGGGGUGCAAGCGUUGCUCGGAAUUAUUGGGCGUAAAGGGUAGGUAGGCGGUCUCAUUUGUCUGGGGUGAAAGCCUUGAGCUUAACUCAAGAAGUGCCCCAGAAACGGUGAGACUGGAGUCUUGGAGAGGGUCGUGGAAUUCCCGGUGUAGCGGUGAAAUGCGUAGAGAUCGGGAGGAACACCAGCGGCGAAGGCGGCGACCUGGACAAGUACUGACACUCAACUACGAAAGCGUGGGGAGCAAACAGG